rnacentral:lncRNA from 1 species
AAAUAUAUUCUCCAGAACAUUCCUAGUCCAAGAGAUGUCCCAUGAAAAAUAAGGGAGAAGAGAUCUUGCUGACCCACCCCUUCUCUUUCUUUCUGACCUGAAUGUGGAUAUGUGGUUUGCUUCUGUGGCUGCAAUCAGGUGACAUGAGGCACCAACCAUUGGACCAAGAAGACAACAGCCAAAGACAGAAGAGCAGAAAAAUAAAAGGAAAAGGCCUGUGUUUUGAUAACAUCAAUGAGCAGCAGUACCAGUGCCAAUAGUCACCUGUCUCCAGCCUUCUUGUGAAUGAGAUACUACAGGUCUGUAUUGCUUGAGCCAUUUCUAACUCCAGAAUAUAUUUAGAGUUUCAUACUGAAGUUGAACCACACAUCUUUCUUUGAACUUCCUAACAGGCAAAACAACUGCAUAAAAGAGAUACUCAAUUAGUUAUUAUUUGUCAUUGUCUUUGAGGAGAAAAUUGAUAGUUCUUCAAGAGAGGCACUGUUUCUUGUGAAACUUAGUUCUUUAAGAAAUGUCUUGGGUGGGGCAUCAUAGAGAGACACUGAGUUAUGGUGGAAACUGUAUUUAAAUCAUAUCCCCAAAUUAAAUGCAAAAUUAGUUUUCAUAUGGUUGUUUCUUGUAGGACCUUUUAAUGUAAACUGCAGAUAUAAUACCAAACCCUAACACAGUGAAAACAAUUAUGUAAGAGACUAUUU